GGGGUAACCUGCCUGUAGACUGGGAUACUCCGGGAAACCGGGGAUAAUACCGGAUAGUUCUUUUCCUCGCAUGAGGAAAAGUGGAAAGGCGGCUUCGGCUGCCACUUACAGAUGGACCCGCGGCGCAUUAGCUAGUUGGUGAGGUAACGGCUCACCAAGGCAACGAUGCGUAGCCGACCUGAGAGGGUGAUCGGCCACACUGGGACUGAGACACGGCCCAGACUCCUACGGGAGGCAGCAGUAGGGAAUCUUCCGCAAUGGACGAAAGUCUGACGGAGCAACGCCGCGUGAGUGAUGAAGGUUUUCGGAUCGUAAAGCUCUGUUGUUAGGGAAGAACAAGUGCCGUUCGAAUAGGGCGGCACCUUGACUGUAUCUAACCAGAAAGCCACGGCUAACUACGUGCCAGCAGCCGCGGUAAUACGUAGGUGGCAAGCGUUGUCCGGAAUUAUUGGGCGUAAAGCGCGCGCAGGCGGUCUCUUAAGUCUGAUGUGAAAGCCCACGGCUCAACCGUGGAGGGUCAUUGGAAACUGGGGGGACUUGAGUACAGAAGAGGAAAGUGGAAUUCCACGUGUAGCGGUGAAAUGCGUAGAUAUGUGGAGG
rnacentral:rRNA from 2 species